GUUUGACCUCACCCAGAGGUGACAAAUGGCCACACCGACCAUGACAUUCUUUGGCUGUAAAGGGGUGUGUCAUGUGUGCGUGGUUCUCCUCAAGAAAACAAAUUUAGCCAUUUUAGCCACGGGUUGGUUCAGUCGGGUGAGUGUUGCCUAAUGUGGAGGCGAAUAGAGGGGUGUUAGCUCUCCACUUGUCCUCAGAGAGGUUUUUACUGGAAACCGGAUGCAGACAUCUACAUGAGACCACGUUGUGCCAAAGAUUUCAGCCAAAACAGUGGGAGUUUCUGUGAGUAAUCUCAGAACCAAGCCCAUAGAAGCCCCCACAACCCACUUGAGAACCAGAAUUGCAGCAUGAGGACCUGGAGCCACAGCUACAGGAGCCACAUUUUCAAACCUGAUGAGCAUGGGAUGUCCUUGAACGAUCAAGUGGAAAUCGAAGAGAGAUAUCAAGUGCUCUUGCUCCCAAAACAGAACUAGAAGAGUGGGUCUGAGAAACAGAAGAGUGUGGGUAACAAGCAGUCCAUCCGAGUUUAUGUGACAGAUGAGUGUGAGGAAUCCAAUGUAUCGUGUAGGAUAUGAGGCAGUGUGGACCCAAAGAUAAAUGGACCAGCAGUCUUUUCAGUAUGGGGGCAGCAUCGAAGAAAGAGACCCAAGAGGGAAGAUGCUCUGCGUGAAAGAAUCAGAAACAAAUAAACAACAAAUACAAGCAGGCCUCACAAGACAGCAUCUGUACCAACCCUCCAAAUGUGAGGACUUAAGGAACAUUGUAGAAUAGUGGAGAGAAAGACUGAGAGCCAGAGAAUAGAAGGGGGUGUGCAAUGUGCGUCUUCUGCACACGUCAUGGCCAUUUGCCGAACUCACGAACACACUGCUGUUGUGGUUGCCUGCCACACACCAACAGGGUCAGUCAACAAUCCAGCAAGCAGCACACACUGAACUGGGUGGGUUACAGAAAGAGAG
rnacentral:lncRNA from 1 species